CCUUUGUCAUUUCAGUCCAAGCUUCUGAGCUCCGGGACCUUGCCAUGAGGUCAAAUUCCACUGAAGGCCUAGUUGAGGAACAGCAGACUGCUUGGGGAACACUGGAAUAUGAAACACAGACACUGAAGAAAGAAAAUGCAGUCCAAGCGACUCAACUGAGAAACAUGGAGGCCAAGUUGAAGGCUGCUGAAAACCAGCUGGAGCAAGUGAAGACUGUGAAUGAAGCUCAAGCUCGUGAACUGGAGGAGCUCAGUGUGAAGUCAUCUACAACUGAGGAUGAGCUGAGGCAGCACCAGACUACAGUGGUGGACUUAACAGGAAAGGUGAAGGAGAUACAACAAGAGAAUGCAGUUCAAGACCAGGAGCUGGUGACCCUUAAUGAAAGGUCAAAUAUCACUGAGACUCUGGUGGAUGAGCAAAAAAUUGUGAUGCAGGAGCUGAAGACUGAGCUGGAUGGACUGGAAAGGCAGAAUGCAGACCAGGACAUUGAACUGGAUUUUCUGGAAAACAGGUCGAACUCCACUGAUGUCCAGAUCAAUGAAAUACUGUCUGACAUGGUGGAGCUGAAUACUGUGAUGGACAGGUUGAUAAAAGAGAACGAAGACAGACCAAAGGUGGCAUUUGCAGCAAGUUUGGGGAUAAACGGGAGGCUGGGUCCUUACAGUUCCCCAUAUUCACUUGUCUACAGCAGAGUCUUGACAAACAUUGGCAAUGCUUACAGUCAAUCAACAGGUAAUCUAUUUAAUAAACAAGAGCCUGUUCCUGGGCAUGUAGGUUUAGUUGU
rnacentral:lncRNA from 1 species